rnacentral:sRNA from 1 species
UUCGCCUGUCGUUUAUGAGGAUGAGCACCUCCGCAGGAGGUUCGAGCCUCGCGAAGCGAGACAGCGUUGCUUUGGCAACGGCCCGCAGGGCGCGCAUCAACGAUGCGCGUAAUCCUCUCUCGCCGACCA